UACGAAGGGUGCGAGCGUUGUUCGGAAUUAUUGGGCGUAAAGGGUUCGUAGGCGGGAGCUUAAGUCAAGUGUGAAAUCCUCAGGCUUAACCUGAGACGUGCACCUGAAACUGGGCUUCUUGAGUGUUGGAGAGGGUAGUGGAAUUGCUGGUGUAGGAGUGACAUCCGUAGAGAUCAGCAGGAACACCGGAGGCGAAGGCGACUGCCUGGCCGACAACUGACGCUGAGGAACGAAAGCGUGGGGAGCAAACAGG
rnacentral:rRNA from 1 species